rnacentral:lncRNA from 1 species
UUCUUUGGGAGUCGUGGGUGGCAUGGUUGGGGAGGGGAAUGGCUAAGGAUUGCUUGGGACGAGUUUGGCCAAAUUCGAAUAGAGUUGAGUUUUAGGGUUAAACUUUAACUUAAUAUUCGAAGCAUUCUGAAUGGAUUCGAAUGGUAUAACACACAUGGUUGGAAAGAGGAGGUUGAUUUGUUUCAGGGGUGUAAGUUUGGAAGGGUUUGGAGUUGAGUCGUCGGAGAUUGGGGUUCCGACGACCUUUCUGUGAAAAUUUGAGACGAUGGGGGGUCGUUUGAAAGGAAUGGACUGCAAGAUGGGGAAUGGGAGGUUCUAAUAGUCCUACGGUGUAAAGAUGGGGAGGUUUGGAAUAAGGUCACCAGAGGCGGUGGUUCCGACGACUUACUUUCGAAUAUUCGAGACAGAGGAGACUUAUUCGACGGAAACUAGUCACAUGACGGAAAGGGGGGGGUUGUGAUGGUUUGAUGGUGUAAAUCUAGGGAGGUUUGGUGACAGGCUGCCGACCGAGGUGAUUUCUGGAGGCGGCGUUAGGGUGGUAGAUGGGUGUUCAAGGGGUGGUCAAGGGUGGUGUUACAACGGGGGAGAUGGUAUGAG